GGGAGCCUCUGAGAAGAAUUGGUCAACAACAACAACAAGAAAGUAUGUUUUGAAGUUGGAUUCUCUUGUGCUGUGCAGCCUCCUCCUCUGGACUUAAAAAUGGCCAUACUGGUAUCAGCCAUCGGUCUGCGAAGGGCUAAAGGUCCGGGGCACCUGCUGAGUGUGGCUGUACACCAAGUCCUCUCUCAACUCGCUCUUAGGACAAAUGCUGGUGCUUCUCAGGCUGGAUCUGACUGGCUUCUGGCUUUCACAGAACCGGAAUAAGCCGGAAUGAGCCGGAAUGGCCUCUAGAGAUGCUCUGAGGUCGGCAGGCCAGACCAUUCCUCCUGGAGCCUCUGCUUCACCGAAUUCUGAUGGAUCCCUGCCCACUCUGCUUGGCCUGUGCCCCUCCUGGCACCAUCUGCCUGAGCCUGGGCUGGCGCUCUGUCAGCCUUUGCAACACAGCUAUGAGACUUGGAAAGCUGGAGUUUGGUUUAGCAGAGAAAUGCAUUUGAAAUCUUCCCUCUAGGCCCCCCUCUUUCUGUUCCCCCUCCUCACCUCCCUCCAGGACCAAUUUAUCUGCCAGUCCAGCCUCCAAGAGGAGCUGGGGCCAAGUUGGAGACCUGCUUAUGCUUGUCAGCCUCUGUGGCCAGAUGACAAGAGAGCAGCCCACAGCUGGGAGAGGACUGGGAAGUCCCCGUGUGCAGAGCGUGCUUAACAGGGGGGCGGGCAGGUCAGAAGCUUCCCCCUGGCUGCAAAGGAGGUGUGGAGG
rnacentral:lncRNA from 1 species